CCUACGGGUGGCAGCAGUGAGGAAUAUUGGUCAAUGGACGAGAGUCUGAACCAGCCAAGUAGCGUGAAGGAUGACUGCCCUAUGGGUUGUAAACUUCUUUUAUAAAGGAAUAAAACGAGGCACGUGUGCCUUUUUGCAUGUACUUUAUGAAUAAGGAUCGGCUAACUCCGUGCCAGCAGCCGCGGUAAUACGGAGGAUCCGAGCGUUAUCCGGAUUUAUUGGGUUUAAAGGGAGCGUAGAUGGGUUGUUAAGUCAGUUGUGAAAGUUUGCGGCUGAACCGUAAAAUUGCAAUUGAUACUGGCAGUCUAGAGUACAGUUGAGGUAGGCGGAAUUCGUGGUGUAGCGGUGAAAUGCUGAGAUAUCACGAAGAACCCCGAUUGCGAAGGCAGCUUACUAAACUGUGACUGACAUUGAUGCUCGAAAGUGUGGGUAUCAAACAGGAUUAGAUACCCUUGUAGUC
rnacentral:rRNA from 1 species